AUUGAACGCUGGCGGCAUGCCUUACACAUGCAAGUCGAACGGCAGCACGGGAGCAAUCCUGGUGGCGAGUGGCGAACGGGUGAGUAAUAUAUCGGAACGUGCCCGGUCGUGGGGGAUAACGUAGCGAAAGCUACGCUAAUACCGCAUACGAUCUACGGAUGAAAGCGGGGGGAUCGCAAGACCUCGCGCGAUUGGAGCGGCCGAUAUCAGAUUAGGUAGUUGGUGAGGUAAAGGCUCACCAAGCCGACGAUCUGUAGCUGGUCUGAGAGGACGACUAGCCACACUGGGACUGAGACACGGCCCAGACUCCUACGGGAGGCAGCAGUGGGGAAUUUUGGACAAUGGGCGCAAGCCUGAUCCAGCAAUGCCGCGUGCAGGAUGAAGGCCUUC
rnacentral:rRNA from 1 species